rnacentral:rRNA from 1 species
ACGGGUGAGUAAUGCCUAGGAAUCUGCCUGGUAGUGGGGGAUAACGUUCGGAAACGGACGCUAAUACCGCAUACGUCCUACGGGAGAAAGCAGGGGACCUUCGGGCCUUGCGCUAUCAGAUGAGCCUAGGUCGGAUUAGCUAGUUGGUGAGGUAAUGGCUCACCAAGGCAACGAUCCGUAACUGGUCUGAGAGGAUGAUCAGUCACACUGGAACUGAGACACGGUCCAGACUCCUACGGGAGGCAGCAGUGGGGAAUAUUGGACAAUGGGCGAAAGCCUGAUCCAGCCAUGCCGCGUGUGUGAAGAAGGUCUUCGGAUUGUAAAGCACUUUAAGUUGGGAGGAAGGGCAUUAACCUAAUACGUUAGUGUUUUGACGUUACCGACAGAAUAAGCACCGGCUAACUCUGUGCCAGCAGCCGCGGUAAUACAGAGGGUGCAAGCGUUAAUCGGAAUUACUGGGCGUAAAGCGCGCGUAGGUGGUUUGUUAAGCUGGAUGUGAAAUCCCCGGGCUCAACCUGGGAACUGCAUUCAAAACUGACUGACUAGAGUAUGGUAGAGGGUGGUGGAAUUUCCUGUGUAGCGGUGAA